GGCGUUUUAGACAGAGGGUGAAAAGCUGGAGCUGCAGGAAUGGUUUUCUGAACUUUAGAGAAAAGUGCUGCUCUUGAAGCUCCCGAAGCUCCUGAUGCUCCUGAAACGCCUCGUCAGUAGUCCGCCCGAUACUUCUGUAAAAUGGUGACUCACUGUAUCACUGACACAUAAGAGACUCACUGAGCCGGAGAAAAA
rnacentral:lncRNA from 1 species